rnacentral:rRNA from 1 species
CCCUUCGAUGUUCUGGGCGGCACGCGCGCUACACUGAUGGGUGCAACGAGUUAUUCUUCCUUGACCGAGAGGUCUGGGUAAUCUUUUCAACGCCCAUCGUGCUGGGGAUAGGCCACUGUAAUAAGGGCCUUCAACGAGGAAUGCCUAGUAAACGCAAGUCAACAACUUGCAUUGAUUACGUCCCUGCCCCUUGUACACACCGCCCGUCGCUCCUACCGAUUGGAUGAUCCGGUGAAGAAUUUGGACUGAACGAACAAGGCGGUUUCGCUGCGAUCGAUCGGAAAGUCUUCUAAACCUUAUCAUCUAGAGGAAGGAGAAGUCGUAACA